CGCGGCCUAUCAGCUUGUUGGUGAGGUAACGGCUCGCCAAGGUAACGACGGGUAGCUGGUCUGAGAGGACGAUCAGCCACACUGGGACUGAGACACGGCCCAGACUCCUACGGGAGGCAGCAGCAGGGAAUAUUGCACAAUGGGCGCAAGCCUGAUGCAGCGACGCCGCGUGAGGGAUGAAGGCCCUCGGGUUGUAAACCUCUUUCAGGAGGGACGAAGCGAAAGUGACGGUACCUCCAGAAGAAGCCCCGGCCAACUACGUGCCAGCAGCCGCGGUAAUACGUAGGGGGCGAGCGUUGUCCGGAUUCAUUGGGCGUAAAGAGCUCGUAGGCGGCUCAGUAAGUCGGCCGUGAAAGCCCGGAGCUCAACUCCGGGACGCCGGUCGAUACUGCUGUGGCUAGGGUCCGGUAGAGGAGAGUGGAAUUCCCGGUGUAGCGGUGAAAUGCGCAGAUAUCGGGAGGAACACCAGUAGCGAAGGCGGCUCUCUGGGCCGGUACCGACGCUGAGGAGCGAAAGCUAGGGGAGCAAACAGGAUUAGAUACCCUGGCAGUCCUAGCCGUAAACGUUGGGCACUAGGUGUGGCGGAUUCAUUGACAUCUGCCGUGCCGGCGCUAACGCAUUAAGUGCCCCGCCUGGGGAGUACGG
rnacentral:rRNA from 1 species